CCCCAGCGCGGAGUGUCUGAGAGCCGUUGGCUGCUCCGAACCGUUUGGCUCCUUCCCUUAGUAACAGCUUUUACCUUCUGCCUCAAUUCCUCUUCCAUCUAAAUCACACACACACACAGAGAUUACUGCCCUCCCCCCUCGGGACUUCAUCUCUCCUCCCUUCCCCCCCGGCUUGGGAUACCAUUGACUAUCACAGCACCCUUGGGGGGCUAUUGAUCCCCCCCCUUUUUCUAUUUUGUUUUUGUUUUUUUGCUUGGAGUGGGCACCUCAGCUGAGAGGGAGCGUGUAUGUGUCCCUAGCUGUGUAAAGAGGAGGAAGCCCAGGGUGCAUUUCUUUUGCCUCCAUUGCAAAGGAAAAGGGGGGAGGGCAAAAGCAGCCACUCAGCCAUCAGCUACCAGCAUCAUCUUCCUGUGACUGGAGGCAGCAGACAGGAGAACUUCCCUACAUCAAUGCACUGCCAAUGGUGGUGUAAUACCAAGGGCUGCACUGCUGCCACAUCACAAUUUUGUGAGGUUUCAGAGAGUAGUUCUGGCACUGCUCAUCCAAGUAACCCAGAAAUUCCCGGCCCUGCUGCUCCAGAAACUACCACUACCAGCUCUUUUGUCCUAGGUACCCUCAUAUGCACCCGCCCUGGAAAUUCCCAACAGCAGCAGACCUCCCCCUAAUUCAAGAACCACAGGCCUCAGGGUUAUAUCCUUUGUCGUGACCUCAUGGUUUAAGUGGGAAUAAAGAUGAGUAUAAGCAGUGAUGAGUUAACUUCCUGGUAUAUAGAUACUUGCAAGAGUCAGGGUUUUCUCAUUCAGCAUUUACAUUUGGUAUAGAGAGCCAUAUCAGCCAGUCUAAUAUAAAUGGUGCUCUGGUGCCACCAGCUGCUU